rnacentral:lncRNA from 1 species
CCUGAAACGGGUGUGGAUGCGAGCUUCCCACAGGACUUAUAUGCCUCUCUUCAUUCUCCAAAAUAUGUUUCUCUGUGUUAUGGGCUGAACUUUGGGCUCCUCCAAAUUCGUAUGUUGAAGUGCUACAGCACCUUAGAAUGUGACUGUUUUUGCAGAUAGGGCCUUUAAAGAGGUAAUUAAGUAAACAUGAGGUCAUCCAUGUGGGCCGUAAUCCAAUAAGCUUGGUGUCUUUGUAAGAAGGGGAGAUUAGAACACAGGGAGAGACACCAGACAGAUGCAGCCCAGAGAGAUGAGCAUGUAACACACAGCAAGAAUGCAGCCACCAGGCAAGCCAAGGAGAGAGCCUUCAGAAGAAACCAACCCUGCCGACACCUUGACCUCAGACUUCCAGCCUCUAAAACGAUUGAAGACAAUGCUGAUCAUACUAUCAACCAUGAAGGACUGUGCUGAGGAUUGAAUGAGAAUACAUUCAGGCCACGGAACACAGUGUGUAUAUAUUACACAUGCUCCAAAAAGGCUAGCUGCUACUAUGAAGUUGGAUAAAUUGACUCAGGAAAGGGCAGAAUGAACUUGAUAUUGUGACUGUACAUUUCAGAGAGGCCCCAAAGAGCAAAUAUUCAGAUCACAGCAUUCACUCCCGGAAUAAGCAUAUUCGAAAACCCUUUCUUUGUCAAGCACGAUACGUGGAGGGAGACUCAUUCUGUUUCAGAAAGCUGAGAGUUAAGUGGCCAAGAUAACCCCAAAAGACAAUCCUAAUAGAUGUGGUGGACACAACAGCAGAAAUAUGGCCACAGGUGUCACAUUUCCAGAGAGAGGCUGAUGAUUGC